AAGCAGAGGGGGCUUAGUGGUGGGGUGACUGCGUACCUUUUGUAUAAUGGGUCAGCGACUUAUAUUCUGUAGCAAGGUUAACCGUAUAGGGGAGCCGGAGGGAAACCGAGUCUUAAUUGGGCGUUAAGUUGCAGGGUAUAGACCCGAAACCCGGUGAUCUAGCCAUGGGCAGGUUGAAGGUUGGGUAACACUAACUGGAGGACCGAACCGACUAAUGUUGAAAAAUUAGCGGAUGACCUGUGGCUGGGGGUGAAAGGCCAAUCAAACCGGGAGAUAGCUGGUUCUCCCCGAAAGCUAUUUAGGUAGCGCCUCGUGAAUUCAUCUCCGGGGGUAGAGCACUGUUUCGGCUAGGGGGCCAUCCCGGCUUACCAACCCGAUGCAAACUGCGAAUACCGGAGAAUGUUAUCACGGGAGACACACGGCGGGUGCUAACGUCCGUCGUGAAGAGGGAAACAACCCAGACCGCCAGCUAAGGUCCCAAAGUCAUGGUUAAGUGGGAAACGAUGUGGGAAGGCCCAGACAGCCAGGAUGUUGGCUUAGAAGCAGCCAUCAUUUAAAGAAAGCGUAAUAGCUCACUGGUCGAGUCGGCCUGCGCGGAAGAUGUAACGGGGCUAAACCAUGCACCGAAGCUGCGGCAGCGAACGUAUCACUUAAAGCGAUUCAGCGGGUUACGAUUGACGGAGCGAAGCGACGUCAAAGCGUAUACAAAGUCGAGUCGGUUUAAGGAUACGUUCGUUGGGUAGGGGAGCGUUCUGUAAGCCUGUGAAGGUGGCCUGUGAGGGUUGCUGGAGGUAUCAGAAGUGCGAAUGCUGACAUAAGUAACGAUAAAGCGGGUGAAAAGCCCGCUCGCCGGAAGACCAAGGGUUCCUGUCCAACGUUAAUCGGGGCAGGGUGAGUCGACCCCUAAGGCGAGGCCGAAAGGCGUAGUCGAUGGGAAACGGGUUAAUAUUCCCGUACUUGGUGUUACUGCGAAGGGGGGACGGAGAAGGCUAUGUUGGCCGGGCGACGGUUGUCCCGGUUUAAGCGUGUAGGUGUGUGUUCCAGGUAAAUCCGGUUCACUUUAACACUGAGGCGUGAUGACGAGGCACUACGGUGCUGAAGCAACAAAUGCCCUGCUUCCAGGAAAAGCCUCUAAGCAUCAGGUAACAUCAAAUCGUACCCCAAACCGACACAGGUGGUCAGGUAGAGAAUACCAAGGCGCUUGAGAGAACUCGGGUGAAGGAACUAGGCAAAAUGGUGCCGUAACUUCGGGAGAAGGCACGCU
rnacentral:rRNA from 1 species